UUGGAAAGAGGAGUGGCGGACGGGUGAGUAACACGUGGGUAACCUACCCAUCAGAGGGGGAUAACACUUGGAAACAGGUGCUAAUACCGCAUAACAGUUUAUGCCGCAUGGCAUAAGAGUGAAAGGCGCUUUCGGGUGUCGCUGAUGGAUGGACCCGCGGUGCAUUAGCUAGUUGGUGAGGUAACGGCUCACCAAGGCCACGAUGCAUAGCCGACCUGAGAGGGUGAUCGGCCACACUGGGACUGAGACACGGCCCAGACUCCUACGGGAGGCAGCAGUAGGGAAUCUUCGGCAAUGGACGAAAGUCUGACCGAGCAACGCCGCGUGAGUGAAGAAGGUUUUCGGAUCGUAAAACUCUGUUGUUAGAGAAGAACAAGGACGUUAGUAACUGAACGUCCCCUGACGGUAUCUAACCAGAAAGCCACGGCUAACUACGUGCCAGCAGCCGCGGUAAUACGUAGGUGGCAAGCGUUGUCCGGA
rnacentral:rRNA from 1 species